AUUCAGAUGACAAGUCCCAAAUAAAACAAAACACGCGUCCUGGAU
rfam:Schistosoma mansoni strain Puerto Rico chromosome 1, complete genome